ACUCCUACGGGAGGCAGCAGUGGGGAAUAUUGCACAAUGGGCGCAAGCCUGAUGCAGCCAUGCCGCGUGUAUGAAGAAGGCCUUCGGGUUGUAAAGUACUUUCAGCAGUGAGGAAGGUGGAUAUGUUAAUAGCAUAUUCAUUUGACGUUAGCUGCAGAAGAAGCACCGGCUAACUCCGUGCCAGCAGCCGCGGUAAUACGGAGGGUGCGAGCGUUAAUCGGAAUUACUGGGCGUAAAGCGCAUGCAGGUGGUUUGUUAAGUCAGAUGUGAAAGCCCGGGGCUCAACCUCGGAAUUGCAUUUGAAACUGGCAAACUAGAGUACUGUAGAGGGGGGUAGAAUUUCAGGUGUAGCGGUGAAAUGCGUAGAGAUCUGAAGGAAUACCGGUGGCGAAGGCGGCCCCCUGGACAGAUACUGACACUCAGAUGCGAAAGCGUGGGGAGCAAACAGGAUUAGAUCCCUGGUAGGCUCUGC
rnacentral:rRNA from 1 species